rnacentral:lncRNA from 1 species
GGGAUUUGAACCUUUCGACCCUAAGAUUAACGACAAAUACUAACACGCAAAACAAACACAGUAAAGUAAAGAGGGAAAGAGAGUUGGACCCAAAUCUGGUUUCUGUCCGCCUGGACCAGUAUUUGGGCCCAUUUUUCGUUUUGGGCCAAAGGCCCAUUUGAGUGGCACCUGUCCUAAGAACUAACAAGAAUAAGAAUAACAACUAAAUGGGCUUAGGCCCAAUAAAUAACAAAAUACAAUUUUGGAAUUAAGAGUGGGCCUUUGGCCCAAUCAUUCAAUUCUCCAAUCUGCUCCAAUAUUAUUUUUUUGACUCUGGGACCUGUACGUCGCUUUUAAAUGGCCGGUAGACUUGAAUAAAGGAUUGGGCCUCCGUGGCCCAAUGAAAAAUGCAAGGGUAGAGUCCAUGAAGACUCGGGCAGAUUUCACAUGCAAUGAGACACUUUCAAUGGGCAGCGAGCAGGGACGGGAUGAGCAGGAGGAGAUGAGUUUCCACCACCACAAACACGAGUUUAAUCCUGAGCAGCUAACUAAGAACGCAAAUCAGACUCGAACAAGAUUUCCUCACAAUUCAGAAUCAGAGAAAAACGUUUAAAAAUUCGUGAGUACCGAAUGAUUGUUCCCCGAAAUCCCACCUUUCUUUGCUUUAAGUUUCUAAUAUUUUUCUCUAACUUUUCUCCAACUCCAAAUUUUUCUAGCUUAAAAAACAAAAUCCCCUAUUACUGAAACGAAAAAAGGAAUAUAUAGAAGGAGAUUAGGGUUGACGAGUUGGGGGGAAAAUGGGUGAAUCCGAAUUCGAGGCCCAUUUUUCGAAUUCAAAACUCCCAUUUCUUUCACCAUUAAGGAAAACAUACUUUUCUCGCAAUUUUGAACCAUUCCAAAAGAGGA